rnacentral:lncRNA from 1 species
UUUUUUUUUUUUUUUUUUUUGGUUGGUUGGUUGUUCCCUGUGCAAAGUUAAUCUUUGUCGUAAACACCUGUAUUUGUACUGUGUGCUCUUUAUGACCUUAAGUACUGAGGAGGUGGGGUCUAUGACAUAGAACUCAGAAUUUAUUGCAAAGGAAAUGCAUGUAAAAGGUGUGUAAUUUAUUAUUUAUAAUUAUGAUUUGCGCUGUGAAUGAAGAAGAGUCCAUGGAACUCCUAACCUGAUAAGUGCUGCUCAGCGAAGGUCAUUCAUUUGGAUUUUUUUCUUCCCUGAUAGCUCAUUUUCUGGCUGUGCAAAAAGGCAGGCUUUUAGUUGUAAAUUUUCUAGGUACUAAGUUAUCAGGUGUGGUGGGGAUUCUGUAAUUUUUAUUUUUCUUGGUUAACUGGUAAACUUUGAGGCUCAGAUCUAUUCAGCAACACCUGGUUUGUAUCCACUGUAGACCUUGAAAUCUUUAACAGCUGGGAUACAAUUUUCAUCUUUCCUUUAAAAGACAAUACAAUCAGGCAGCUGUUACUCUCCUAACUAACUAUACAUUGAAUGCCAAGCCUAGCAGUCAGGUUUGUGUUCCUGUAUCCUUUCUUCCCUUCACUUAUGGUUUUGAAAAGAGGCGGACUGUAUCCCAUUUUGAAGUAAAAUAAGUGCUUUUUUUCUUUCUUUUGAGACAGGGUCUCAUGUAUAUCCCUGGCUGGCCUAGAACUCUCUAUAUAGACCAGGCUUGCCCCCCAAUUUACAAGAAAUUGGUAUGCUUCUGCUUCUAGAGUGCUGGGAUCAAAAGCAUCUGUCAUCAGACAGUGCUUCCUAAUAAUUGCUUGGUCAGGGUACUGAUUCAGGCAGUAACAAUGUAAGUAUGUCUGUUGAUAUUUUUGCUUAGCUUAAAAGACUUCAUCAAAUAAGCCACAGUUUGAUUUUGCCAUUGAUGGAAUUGUUAGUUUAUGAAGACUUUUCACAAUCCCUCUCUUUGCCAGAUUUUGUUUGGCAAGCCACUUUAUUUCUUUAAAAAAGUGUGUCCCUGUGCAUGCUGCCAUAGUGUCUUAAGUGUCUAGACGGCCUGGUUUCCUUGAUGUCUUCCAUCCACAGGGCAUAUUUCCGCUGCCUCUUUCUGAGAAUCCCCAGGGAAAAUAGCUGUCGAGCCCCCAGCCCUAACACAGAAGCUAUCUCUAGUUGAUGACUUACAAAGGAAAGAUUAGUUUUCUCCAAAUGGAGUAUCAGUGACUAUACAAAAGGUCAGGCCCAUGUCCAGCAGUAAGCAGCCAACACUUAAGGAACUCAGUAGUAGUUUUUGGAAGUUUCUGUCUCCCAGUGCUUUGUCUGGGCUUUUCUUCCCCGCUUGUAUAUCUUUUGCUUAUAUCUUUUUUUAUUUUGUUUUUUUUUUAUGGGUUUUCUCUGUUUGUGAAAGUGUGUGUUUCAGUGUCUGUAUAUAUUUUUGCACUAUGGCUUGCCCCCCCUACCCCACAUUUUAUUUUGUUCUAUUCUAGAUUUUUCAAUUUUUUUAAAAAUUUUAUUAUUAUAUGCCUGUUUGUAUGCUAAUGUGGGAAAAAGAAUGGGUGCAGCUUUGGAUGGGUGGGAAACUGGGAAGAUCUGGGGAGAGAAAAACCAUAAUCGGAAUAUAUUGUAUGGGGGAAAUCUAUUCUGGAUAAUAAUAAGAGUAAAACACUGUGUCCCACUCAGCAUUCACUUAAUGUUAAAAGGAGCUACGAUAUAUUUGUAAUUGUUUUUAAAUCCAUUCUUGCAAUGGAGAGACUCAGGCAGUAUUGUUUGCAGGAAUCUGGUAAGACUCAGUUUUUUUUUUUUUUUUUUUUUUUCUUUCUCUUGAACAUGCAUGUGUGCGGUGGAUAUGGAAUCCAGGGCUCAUACAUAUUAAGGACAUUCUUCACUGCUCAUACACAGUCCUGUUCAUACAUUUGCCUUAAAAUGACUAGAGUGAUGUUUGUUCACUCUGUGAAUCUUAAAGGAUUCUUUAAGAUGUAUGUCUGUCUUUAAGAGCAUUUCUGAGCAGUCAGAAAUGACAAGGAAGAAAGGAGAACCAGAAAACAAAUCCUCAUCUGACUUCCUUUAUGCACAGAGCGUAGACGCAAACAGUACAGUGAGUGUGUAACAUGGUAUCUUAAAGUAGUUUCCUGGUCUGCUUAUUGGAGCAUCCUAUUUACCUGAAAUGCUUUUAGUUUCCUCAGAUAAGUCAAACUCUGUUUUAUUUUGUUUUGUUUUAAAUAUUACCUGGUUGUUUUUGGAAGGAAAUCAAACCUUUGGGUUCCUUUAGUUUAUGCUAUCUGUAAUUGAUGUAACAUGGAUAUGCCAUCUUUUGGACUUUAUUCUAUCAGUUCCAGGCUUGUUUUCCUUAGGAGUGCAGAAAGAAGCCACUGAAGCUGUACACACUAACUGCUACUCUUCCUGGAAUUUUUAGAGAGGGAAGAGAAGUUGAAGUGCUAUUUGUGGCCCGAGUAUACAAGGUGGGACUUGGGGACAGGUGAGGAAGGAGCAUCUGGGGGCAGCAGGCUUUAGCUGCCCUGGGUGUCUGGACUGUUUUUAAUGAGAAACUAAUUGAUUUGAAUUUUUAGGACAUUCCUUACAUGCUAGGCAGGCCCUUCACCUAUAUUGAAAGUUUUACCAUUAAUUCUGCUUUUGGUACCGAGGAUUGAACCUAUGGUUUUGCUCAUGCUAAGCAAUAGACAAGGGCUCCAUCUUUGAGCCACACCCUAAGCCUUUUGCUCUUAACUUUUCUCCUUUGAGAUAAAGUUUCAUCCAGUUCCGUUGUCUAGGCUCCUUGACUCUGAAUCCCGCUGACCUUGUGUUUAGAGUCUGAAUAGAGUCGCAGUCCCCGACACAUCGAGGAUUCUGGUUCUUGCUCAGUCUUGUUCCUUGGGCCUAGUAUUUCUUUAUUAUAGUAAGUUCUGUUUAAUUUAUUUUAUGUGUGUGGGGAUUUUGCCUAUAUGUCUGUGAACCACAUGGAUGCAGUGCCCAUAGAGGUCAGGGAAGGAUAGACCUGGAGCUGGAGUUACAGACCAUUGUGAGCUGCCAUGUGGAUGCUGUGAAGUAAGCCCAGGUCCUCUGAAAGAACAGCCAGAGCUCUUAAUAGCUGCAUGUCUUCCAGCUCCAGUUUCUGUUUCUUAAAGUAAUAAAUAAAUAGAUGAAUAAAUGUUGUAAAGUUGCAUAAAUAAAGGUAAAUAUGUCAUGUAAUUUUUUAAAAUGGCAUAUUCAACCUUGUUAUUCUGUUUAUUAUAAAGCCAGCCUUACAAUACAUAUAACUGAUUAAUUACCGUUAAUAAAGCCCUUGAUAUUUAAACUACUGAGCAUUUCUAUAUUUUAAAGGAACAUCAUUUAUUACCAUGUGAUAAUAAUUAAAUGCUAGUUUCUGUGUAGGUUAAUAUUUUAAAGUGACUUUUGUGUUAACAGCACUGUUCAUCUCAUCCAUCCCUGGGAAUAAUUAAAGCCUUACUCUCUCCAUUUGUAAUCUCCUAGCUAGUAGUGAGUUUUAACAAUUUACCUGAGCCACACAGGAAGAGGACUUGUGUAACGGAUAAGUACUUUGAAACUUUGCCCUUUACAUGAAUUGAUGACUGUUUAUACGGCUUCAAACCAUGCUGUAUUAAAAAAAUAUGGACUGCUUCAGGGUUGGACUGAAGAGGUUGUAUUUGCCAGGAAUAUGCAGCAGGCUCCAGGGAUGACCUCUGGCUAAUCACUUAGUAGCCCUGUGACUUCUAGGCCAAUCAUUCGGUAGCCUUGAGAGCUUCCUUUGCUGUUGGAAGAAGGGCUGCUUUCUGAACAGCACCGAGUCUCUGGAAGUAGACGGGAGCUGAGGUCUGAGGGGGUCGCCGGGCUCUCAUGCUGUACAUCGUGGUACACACAUGAGUGCACACACAGCCCACAUAGCAGCCACAUAUGUUGUAGGACGACCCUGUCACAACCGUGUGCUCUAAAGCACCUCAUUUUAAAGCUGUAAUGUGUUACAUGGGCAGCCCUUUCUCUGAUGCCUCCGGUGUGCUGGCAGUUUAUCAGCAGCAGGGUUGUGAUCCUGUCACUUCUUGUUAAUGAAGGCUUUUAUUUAGCUUAGCAAAUCAUAUCUCCUGUUAACAUCCACGCUUGCAAACUGUAAACUUGAAAGAGAUGUUUGUGACUUUCUAUUAAUUAGUAGCCACCUGGGUGUUUUGGCCCUUGCUUGUAGCAAUUUAGCUAUAUUUCUUCUGUUCAUAUGUGGUUUGUCUUAAACCAGAAGGCCCUGAAUGCCAAUAAAUCUUUAUUUUUAAA